rnacentral:rRNA from 1 species
UACGAAGGGGGCUAGCGUUGCUCGGAAUCACUGGGCGUAAAGCGCACGUAGGCGGGGCUUUAAGUCGCAAGUGAAAUCCCCGGGCUUAACCUGGGAAUGGCUUGCGAAACUGGAGAUCUUGAAUGCCCGAGAGGUUGAUGGAAUUCUUGGUGUAGGAGUGAAAUCCGUAGAUAUCAAGAGGAACACCGGUGGCGAAGGCGGGUCUCUGGGCCGAUACUGACGCUGAGGAGCGAAAGCGUGGGGAGCGAACAGG